UUGAAUUUGAUGAUGGGAAAAGUACCAUAAGGAACUGUUCUUCAGAGAGUUGGUAUAAUGCUGAAAGCCAACGUACAGACCUUUAGUGGAAGAUCCUCCCGGAGAAGUGAAGCUGAAACGUCCUUGACGCGUGUAAGCUAAGCCGGUCUGCCGAACGUUAUAUCGGCUCCAUGCUUUUAAUAUCCGCAUGGACUUGAGAUGUCGCUUAUGAAGUGUUUUAUUUAUAAGCGAAAUUAGGGUGGUAACGCGAGCUAAAGUCUCGUCCCUUUG
rnacentral:ncRNA from 1 species